GAAAUGCGAUAAUUAAUGUGAAUUGCAGAAUUCAGUGAAUCAUCGAGUCUUUGAACGCACAUUGCGCCCCCUGGUAUUCCGGGGAGCAUGCCUGUCCGAGCGUCAUUGCUGCCCUCAAGCACGGCUUGUGUGUUGGGCUUCCGUCCCUGGCAACGGGGACGGGCCCAAAAGGCAGUGGCGGCACCAUGUCUGGUCCUCGAGCGUAUGGGGCUUUGUCACCCGCUCCCGUAGGUCCAGCUGGCAGCUAGCCUCGCAACCAAUCUUUUUAACCAGGUUGACCUCGGAUCAGGUAGGGAUACCCGCUGAACUUAAGC
rnacentral:misc_RNA from 1 species